UGCAAGUCGAGCGGGCGUAGCAAUACGUCAGCGGCAGACGGGUGAGUAACGCGUGGGAACGUACCUUUUGGUUCGGAACAACACAGGGAAACUUGUGCUAAUACCGGAUAAGCCCUUACGGGGAAAGAUUUAUCGCCGAAAGAUCGGCCCGCGUCUGAUUAGCUAGUUGGUAGGGUAAUGGCCUACCAAGGCGACGAUCAGUAGCUGGUCUGAGAGGAUGAUCAGCCACAUUGGGACUGAGACACGGCCCAAACUCCUACGGGAGGCAGCAGUGGGGAAUAUUGGACAAUGGGGGCAACCCUGAUCCAGCCAUGCCGCGUGAGUGAUGAAGGCCCUAGGGUUGUAAAGCUCUUUUGUGCGGGAAGAUAAUGACGGUACCGCAAGAAUAAGCCCCGGCUAACUUCGUGCCAGCAGCCGCGGUAAUACGAAGGGGGCUAGCGUUGCUCGGAAUCACUGGGCGUAAAGGGUGCGUAGGCGGGUUUUUAAGUCAGGGGUGAAAUCCUGGAGCUCAACUCCAGAACUGCCUUUGAUACUGAAGAUCUUGAGUCCGGGAGAGGUGAGUGGAACUGCGAGUGUAGAGGUGAAAUUC
rnacentral:rRNA from 1 species